UACGUAGGGUCCGAGCGUUGUCCGGAAUUAUUGGGCGUAAAGGGCGUGUAGGCGGUCUGUUAAGUCUGAUGUGAAAUCCCCUCGCUUAACCUGGGAACUGCAUUCGAGACUGCAUUGCUAGAGUAUGGGAGAGGGAAGUGGAAUUUCCGGUGUAGCGGUGAAAUGCGUAGAUAUCGGAAGGAACAUCAGUGGCGAAAGCGACUUCCUGGACCAAUACUGACGCUCAUGUGCGAAAGCGUGGGGAGCAAACAGG
rnacentral:rRNA from 1 species